rfam:Triticum aestivum genome assembly, contig: Triticum_aestivum_CS42_TGACv1_scaffold_320760_4BL
GUAGUACUUCCUCCGUCCGAAAAAACUUAUCAUUAAAAUGGACAAAAAAAAUGUAUCUAGAACUAAAAUACAUCUAGAUACAUCCUCUUUUAUUCAUUUUGAUGACAAGUAUUUCUGGACGGAGGGAGUACGUA